rnacentral:rRNA from 1 species
UACAGAGGUCUCAAGCGUUGUUCGGAUUCAUUGGGCGUAAAGGGUGUGUAGGUGGCGCCGUAAGUCGGGUGUGAAAUUUCGGAGCUUAACUCCGAAACUGCAUUCGAUACUGCGGUGCUUGAGGACUGGAGAGGAGACUGGAAUUCAUGGUGUAGCAGUGAAAUGCGUAGAGAUCAUGAGAAAGACCAGUGGCGAAGGCGGGUCUCUGGACAGUUCCUGACACUGAGACACGAAGGCCAGGGGAGCAAACGGG